CUUGGUCAUUUAGAGGAAGUAAAAGUCGUAACAAGGUUUCCGUAGGUGAACCUGCGGAAGGAUCAUUAACAAAUCUUUUAUAUGGGCGAGCUCUGCUCGUGCAUAUAUAUUUACCCCGAGCCUGGCAGCAAUGCCGGCUUUGGUUGGGUGGGUGCGCAAGCACUUGCUCCGGCCGUGUGCUUAAGGCCUCCGGGCCUUGGUGCAUAGCCACAUAGACGCUUGUAUGUUUGACAGAGUUACACGGUUGUAAAACUAAAAUGACAACUUUUAACAAUGGAUCUCUUGGCUCUUGCAACGAUGAAGAACGCAGUGAAAUGCGAAAAGUAAUGCGAUUUGCAUGAAUCUGUGAGUCAUCAAGUUUUUGAACGCACCUUGCACCGUACUAGUAAUGGUAUGGUAUACCUGUUUGAGAAUCGUAAAACUCUCUUCUCACCCCCCUUUGUUGUGGGGGCCGGGAGACUUGUUGGCUGUGCGGCGCAAGCCGUACUCUGAUUAAAAAGAGCAAGUCCGGAUCAGGCUGGUGGCCUGGGACACUGUGUGCUAGAGACGCCGCUUCGGCUGACUGUCUUCUCACAGUGCGUCCUUGGCUAUCAAGCUGGCCUGAUAGUUGGGCUUUUUCAGUGGGCCGCGUAUUGCGCGGUCUACAACCCCCCUUUUUGAUCUCAAAUCAGGUAAGGCUACCCGCUGAACUUAAGCAUAUCAAUAAGCGGAGGA
rnacentral:rRNA from 1 species